CAUUUAGUGCGAUUGCGCGGUACUUGGUAGGUGCAACACAUGCGUAUUAACUUUUGCAAUCGAACGACUUGUUGACAGGGAUCACCGAUAUUUUUUCCUAAGUUCAUUUGCUGGUUGGAAAACACGAUGGCUGAAGGCCUAAACCCUAUCCAUAACAUGCUGUGUGACCCAAAGGAACCAGUCGGCGGCUACGACGCGUUGCCGCUCGUAUUAAAGGAAUUCAUCAGAAAACAAAAAGCCGAGAGCUCAUUUCCCGCCCACAAUGGAAUUUGGGACUUUAUGCCAGCUCCCAGGGCUAAUGAUAUUGCUCCAGUAAAUCGUCCGCGCCGUAAUGAGGAUCCCAAUACCUAUGCCAUCAGGCCUUGCGGUGAAACUUAAAAAGAAUGGAGAACCGCGGGCGACUUCAGGAGACUGUCUUCUUAAGUAUUUAACUUAUAUAAUAUGUAACGUGAUUACUGUAAGUUUAACAUUGGCGGAUGCGAAUUUUUGUUUCAAUUACCUUUCAAUGAAAAUUUAUACUCAUUAAUUAAUAUAUUCCAACUUAACAAUUCCAAAAAUUGUUACUACCAACCGGUCAAUCAGUUAUGUUAGAAACUUGUUCUAUUAACGCUAAAAAGUGAUGUAAUGAUAUUGUAUGUGUAAUUGUAGUAAAUUAGUUUUAAGUAUCUUUGCUCAGAAGACAAGCAACAGCAAGUUCUUGUCCGAAAACUUUCCUUGGGCAGAAAAAGUUUAAACCUUAUUUUUUAAUACUAGGAUACAUAUAAUAUUCAGUCUUUAUUAUGGUAUUGUCAACCAAUAUAAGAUUGAUCGUCUUAAUGAAGACUAAAGCGUUUAGAGCAUGAAAAUGGAACCGUUUAUCGAUUAUAACUUGACAUAGCGGUUGAUGAUAUCCAUAAAGAGGGAAUAUUCACAAUUGUUUAGAUGUUUCAAUGUUUUCUAUAUGCUGUAGUUUUCAUUCGAAGAAACAUGUAUUAACCCCACUAUGUAUAUCAAAAUAAAGGGCAAUACAGCUUCG